AGGACGAACGCUGGCGGCGUGCUUAACACAUGCAAGUCGAGCGGAAAGGCCCUUCGGGGUACUCGAGCGGCGAACGGGUGAGUAACACGUGAGCAAUCUGCCCUUAGCUUCGGGAUAGCUCCGGGAAACCGGAAUUAAUACCGAAUACGACCUCGGCCGACAUCGGCCUUGGUGGAAAGUUUUUCGGCUAGGGAUGAACUCGCGGCCUAUCAGCUUGUUGGUGGGUAAUGGCCUACCAAGGCGACGACGGGUAG
rnacentral:rRNA from 1 species